rnacentral:rRNA from 1 species
GACGAACGCUGGCGGCGCGCCUAACACAUGCAAGUCGAACGGAACUUAAGAGAGCUUGCUUUCUUAAGUUUAAUGGCGAACGGGUGAGUAACGCGUGAGUAACCUGCCCUGGAGUGGGGGACAACAGUUGGAAACGACUGCUAAUACCGCAUAAUGUCAUUUAAGGGCAUCCUUGGAUGACCAAAGCUUAAUGUGCUGAAAGAUGGUCUUGCGUCUGAUUAGCUGGUUGGUGAGGUAACGGCUCACCAAGGCGACGAUCAGUAGCCGGUCUGAGAGGAUGAACGGCCACAUUGGGACUGAGAUACGGCCCAG